rnacentral:misc_RNA from 1 species
GAUGAAGAACGUAGCGAAACGCGAUAAGUAAUGUGAAUUGCAGAAUCCAGUGAAUCAUCGAAUCUUUGAACGCACAUUGCGCCCGCCAGCAUUCUGGCGGGCAUGCCUGUUCGAGCGUCAUUUCAACCCUCGACCUCCCCUUGGGGAGGUCGGCGUUGGGGACCGGCAGCACACCGCCGGCCCUGAAAUGGAGUGGCGGCCCGUCCGCGGCGACCUCUGCGCAGUAAUACAGCUCGCACCGGGACCCCGACGCGGCCACGCCGUAAAACACCCAACUUCUGAACUUUGACCUCGAAUCAGGUAGGACUACCCGCUGAACUUAAGCAUAUCAAUAAGCGGAGGA